ACACUUCCUAGCAUGAAGUCAGACAAGUGAACCCGCCGAAU
rnacentral:rRNA from 11 species